AUUGAACGCUGGCGGCAGGCCUAACACAUGCAAGUCGAGCGGAGCGGCGGACGGGUGAGUAAUGCCUAGGAAUCUGCCUGGUAGUGGGGGAUAACGUCCGGCAAGGGGCGCUAAUACCGCAUACUUUCAGAUGAGCCUCGGUCGCAUUGGCUAGGUGGUGGGUUAAAGGCUUACCAAGGCGACGAUCCGUACCUGGUCUGAGAGGAUGAUCAGUCACACUGGAACUGAGACACGGUCCAGACGCCUACGUGAGGCAGCAGUAGGGAAUAUUGGACAAUGGACGAAAGCCUGAUCCAGCCACGCCGCGUGUGUGAAGAAGGUUUUCGGAUUGUAAAGCACUUUAAUUAGAGAGGCGGUACCUACAGAAAAAGCACCGGCUAACUACGUGCCAGCAGCCGCGGUAAUAC
rnacentral:rRNA from 1 species